rnacentral:rRNA from 1 species
UACGGAGGGUGCAAGCGUCAUCCGGAUUCACUGGGUUUAAAGGGUGUGUAGGCGGAUUUUUAAGUCAGUGGUGAAAUCUCCGGGCUCAACCCGGAAACUGCCAUUGAUACUAUUAGUCUUGAAUUUUGUUGAGGUAGGCGGAAUAUAUCAUGUAGCGGUGAAAUGCUUAGAUAUGAUAUAGAACACCGAUUGCGAAGGCAGCUUACUAAACAAAUAUUGACGCUGAGGCACGAAAGCGUGGGGAUCAAAC